CAAGACUCCAACGGGCACGGCAGCUCGAGGGCACUUAGUGGGGCGCCCCAAACCUCUGCCGCCCCCAAUUUCCUAGCGUGCCCCGCCUCUCUCCGUCCUCGCCUCCGGCCCGCCCCUUCCUCCCGGGCUAGCCCCCGCGGUGCCCGCCCAACUCCAGGACUACCGCGGAGAGACAGAAACCAAAACCCGGCACACACGGCCUCCUUGAAGGCCCAACUCUGAGCGCUUUCUGGGCAGCUCUUGACUCGAACUCCACUGCGGCCUUUCACUGAUGGCAGCCAUGUUAGUUGCAUCCGGGUAUGUCGAGGAGCCCCGACCAAAGUCUCCCGGAAGUGACGCGAUCGCGGAGGGAUUCGCGUUCGGCUGAGGUGAAGGGGCUCCGGAAGCGGGUGCGGUAGAGACGGUGACAGGAAAGGUUGGGUCUUAUUCACUACCGAGUUCUUGUAUCAAGUUUUAAGUGUCAUGUGUUGUGCUCGACAUCAGCAUUGCCGUGCCAUUUAAAUCCUUUCUUCCCACCAGGCCCAGGAGGAAGAAAUUUUAUCCUUUCCAUUAUGGAGACAUUAAGGGUCGCAGAGGGCAAGUGAAUUGUCUAAGGUCAUUCAGCUUGUAUUGGAGCUGGUCUGACCCCCUCAGUUUGGCUGCGGAGCCUGUCUUUUAAAUCUCCGUAAUGCCUACGUUUAGCAAAAUCCCAAUCUCUGGUGCUUGCAUCCUGGCAGGUCGCUUCGGCAAGGGCGUUCACCUGCAGCUCGGCAACAUUUGCCCACUGAAUGGUGCCAAGCCACCGUGGUCUUUGCGGUGGACACAGACCGAACUGUGUGCCGGGUCACCUAAACUAACCCAGUGCCCUGGGAUCUCACUUGGUCUCCUACUCCUUGAGUCUGCACAUGAAGGGUUCUUGCUGACCUCGACCGCAGGUUAACUGUGGGGAUUGGGCACUGACUGUUGGAGCUGGGAAACAUUUUAACUCCUGUCGGGCACUUGUAAAGUCAAGACUGUUCCGACCAUUCGAGGCCGGUCAUCAUCGUCCAGUCGGUCUUGAUAAAGGACUGACAGCUAUUAUUUUGGGUUUUCCACCAAAUCAGUUGUUUCUCUUGGUUUCCAUUUCUUUAGAAUAUGACUGAGAACCAGUACUUUGAUCUUAUGUCAACAUUAACUAUAACCAGCUUUCAAAUACUGAAGUGUGAAUAGCCAGUGAGGUCUUUUUUUCUUUUUGCUGUGUUUUGUUUUGUUUUCUUUUUCUUUUUCUUUUACAGAGAGGCCACCAGGUGGGGAAAUAGCCACACACACCCCAACACCUCCUUAGAAUGGGAACUCUGAGACCCCUGGGUGUCAAAGGUCCCAGGGGCACCGUGUCCUCAGGGAAGGACAGAGCCCAGUGCUGGAUAUCAUGGGAGCGAGGCAAUAUUUUUGUAAAAAUAAAUUAUGUAUAGAAAAAAGCACUAAACAAAUACAUCAGAAUUAAGAAUGAUAAUAUUUGAAGAGUGGCCAUUUAAUUCUUUUCUUCUCUUUUUAUUUUUUAUAUCUGCUACAAUAUCUUUUUCAUAUAGGGAAAUAAACAAAUUGACCGCAGCAAAUCGUUUUUAAUUGCUUGCGAUAAUGAAGACAAAGGCAUAUUGCCAGAUUUUGACCAAUGACAGUCCUUGACACAAAUUACAGGAAUUCUGUUAGGAAAAGCAUUGGUUUUUGUCAGGAUGUUACCAAAAUACAGUUUUGGUAUUGAUGUUUUUCACACACCUUUGUAUAAAAAUAUCCUACAAUCAAAGUUUUUCUUCUAAGAGAAAGAGAAGGAUUUGGGGCACUUGAAAUUCUGGAGAACAAGUAUAAAAAGCUAUUUUUAUUCUGCUUUCUUUGGGGUACAGCUUUAAGCUAUUUAUCAGGUUUAGACUGUGCAAAAUAAAGGUUUCAUUCUCUAUUUCUGUAUUCUGCUUCCCACUGUUGCUUUUUAGUGACCUCUCAAGGAGUGGCACAGAAAUAACAGUGAAAACAUAGAAGAGAAGAAUGAGAAGGGAUUGGGGAGGAAGAAAAUAUAAAAUGUAGGGGAAUAAAGGAAAAUGCUGAUAUUGGGGGAUAUUGGGGUUGAGGUUGCUUUGUAGUUCCAAGUUAGCAUGUAACAACCUUUUUAUCUAAGUCUUGGCACAAGACCUGUUGCCCACUCAAAUAGAUUUGCAUAUACAAUGUUCCCACUCACACAUUGAGCACACACUAUGAUAAUUCUUACCAAAAUUUCAGCAUUAUACUCCUACAAAUUAGACAUAUAUUUUGACAAAACCUAGAGUGUUCUGAACAACAAAAAAAAGUAAAAUGCCAUAGAUUCCCCUGGGGUUCCCUCUUACCAUAUCAUUCGUUCAUCCUGUAAUUAGCGUAACUGGAUACUGGAGUGGGAGUGUUGCCUGCAGCAUUGUAAUACAACAACUACGAAACAUCAAGUGAGGUCCUGACAAGAUGCAUGUUUUCAGAGGAAGUGUCUUUUUAAAAAAAAUUUUAAUGUUUAUUUUUGAGAGAGAGGGAAAGAGACAGAGUGUGAGUAGGGGAGGGCAGAGAGAGAGAGGGAGACACGGAAUCCAAGGCAGGCUCCAGGCUCUGAGCUGUCAGCACAGAGCUCAAUGUAGGGCUCAAACCCACGAACCACAAGAUCAUGACCUGAGCCGAAGUCAGAUGCUUAACUGAAUGAGCCACCCAGGCACCUCUCAAAGGAAAUAUCUUUAUGUUAGUCUGGGCCCUCGGAAAAACAGUUAAGAUGAGAUUAAGUGCACAAGAAUUUGUUAGAGGAAACAGUUGUGAAAGAGAAAGGAGAGAAGGCUGAGAGAGCCAUCAGACUGGUGCAAGUCUGAAACUCUGUGAAGGAGGUCGGACGAGGUUGGUGGAAGUGUCUCAGGCUGCUGAACAGUCUAAGGAAGAUUUGGCAAGGCUGUUGGGAAUGCUCAAGCUAAAACUGCCAUCAGAGGAGUCCUCCUAGGAAGGAGUCUGCCUUAUUAUCUAUGCUGCAUUCAGUCACUGGCUGGAGCAGCCCAUGGAAAGCUUGCUCUUUGGUGCAAAUGUGGCAGAAGAUUUCAGAGGGUAGCCUCUGGGGCCCUUGGUCAGUUUUGCUCCCUGUAUUUGGUAACCACAGUCCAAAAACUGGCUUUUCAAUUAUUGGAGAUUGUCACCAAUUUCAAGGCUUAGAAUAUUAUAAAAGAGGUGAUUUCAUGAGGAGUUUUGGAGAGGGCCAUUGUUAUGCUUCCUCACUCCCCGUCAAGUCUACCGAGUGGGGCUCCAAAGGCACUACUUAGGGAACUUGAUAUGUCUCCCUUGGGUUUUGAGAAGUACAGUAGUGCCUGACUCACAUCUGAGAAUCCUAAGGUAGGAGAAAUGGGUCAGUGAGAAGUUUGGGCAGAGGAAUAAAGAAGAGUUGCUAUGUUGGGAUCAGCUGUCACUCCCAUAGUUUGUCAGGGCAAAUGAUGUUCGAGUGUUUCUCGUGCACCAAAUGUGUACCACAUGUGGGAAUGAGAGAGCUGGCCUGGGGCUCUUUUGACUCUUGCCCAAGAGGACUUCCUAGAAGAGAAAUGGGACUCCAACUGAGGGAGUUUAUGUGGUGGGGAUUAUCAGAAAGUCUGGGGCUAUAGAAGGAGCAGAAUGGGGGAUAUUUCCAUUGCCCAUCUAGGAUGGCCAACUUGUCUAAGUUUGCCUGGAACUCUCCAUGCUUUAGUACCAAAAGUCCUGAGUCUCAGGAAUCCCUCGGUCCCAGGCAACUCAGGAUGGUUGGUCAUUCUGCACGUCACAGGAGUUGCAGUCAGAAGGCAUCCCAGCACGGAACCUCCAAAACCCUCCAAAUCACCCAUAAGAGUAAGAGGUAAGUUGAAAUUUCAGGCAGGUCCCGAAUAUGAGAAGCCAGCUUAUGAUUGUCAGUAUUGAAGUGGAUAUUGUCAGAGGGUAAUUGGAAAAUGAUGCUGAAGCAGAACCUUCUUUUCCACACCUUCCCUUUGGAGUGUGUAUAGGCUGCUCAGGCUGCCAUAACAAAAUACCACAGACUGGGGCGGCUUAUACUAUAAAACUAUUUCCUCACAGUUCUAGUGGCUGGAAGUCCAAGGUCAAGGUUCUGGGCAAUUCAGUUUUUGGUGAGAACUCCCUUCCUAGCUUGCCGAUGGCCACCUUUUUGCUAUGUCCUCACAUGACCUUUCCUCAGUGCCUGUGUGAGAAGGGAGGGAAUGGGAGGUAUUUUUGGUGUUUCUUUUUAUAAAGACACUAAUUUUAUAGGAUCAGGGCCCCACCCUUAUCUUAUUUAACCUUAAGUCUUCAGAGGCCUCAUCUCCAAAUACAGCAACAUUUGGGGUUAGGGCAUCAACAUAUGAAUUUUAAGAGAACAAACAUUCAGUAUAUACCAGUGUGACUCUAUAACACAGAGAUACUUUGGGGGAGGGUCAUGAAAAUAUUAGGCCUGCUUCAUGCCUCAUACCUUUAUGGAGAAGAUAUGCUAUUGUGACUGUAGCCCUGUGUCUUUGCAAGAACAAAAGUAAGCAUAUUAUAUUUAGAGCUCGUUUGUAACACUUUUUUAGAGCUCUUCAGACAUUAUUCUAAUCAUGUCAAGGUAAAGCUGAACCCCUCCAGGGCCUUUUUUUUUUUUUUUUUUUCCUGUCCUGUAGAGCAGAGGAAUCCUUUUUAGGAAGGAUUCCUAAAAUCCUUUUAGGAAGCAGAGCUAGUUUUUAACUCUUCAAGGCUUUAGUAGUUGGACCUAGGUUCAGCCGUGAGCACAGAGUAAUAGAAAGCACCAAAAUAAAAGUCAUUAUGUUUUUAAUAUGACAAGUUUAUUUUUUUCUUUUAAGAAAUCUGGUGAAAUUAUCUUGGGAUUAGUAUGGUGAUUCAUGGGGUGAGGAUUUCAGGCUCCUCCUACCUUAUUGCCCCACUGUGUGUGACUUCCAUUUUUCAAAGUAAUUUCCUGGUCCAAGAUGGCUGCAAGAGCUCCAGUCAUUCUAGUGAACAGGAAGGAUAGAGACCUACAAAGAACGGCACACCUCUUCCAUUUAAGGACAGUUCCCAAAAAUUGAACACAAGCUUCUACAAGAGAAGCUGGAAAUAGUAAUACUUUUUUUCCUAGUGGGUCAAUACCCAGCCAAAAGUUAUGAGAUUUUAUUACUCUAGAACAGAGAUCAACAAACUAUGGCCCAUGGGCCAGUCAUGUGUUUUUAUAAAUAAAAUUUUAUUGAAAUACAACCUUGGCAAUUUUACCUAUUGUCUAUGGAUACAUGUUUUUGUUUGUUUGUUUGUUUGUUUUUUUGUUUAAGCACUCUUUAUAUUUUUAAAUUUCAAUUCCAGGGUAGGUAACAUACAGUGUUAUAUUAGUUUCAGGUGUAUAAUACAGUGAUUCAGAAAUUCAAUAUAUUACUCAUUGCUCAUCAAAAUAAGUGUACUCUUAAUACCUUUCACCUUUCACCCACCCCUUCACCAACCUCCCUUCUGGUAACCAUCAGUUUGUUCUGUAGUUAAGAGUCUGUUUCUUGGUUUGCCUCUCUCUUCUGCUACCAUCCCUCUCAAGCAUGAUCAUUUUUGUUUUGUUUCCUAAAUUCCACAUGUGAGUAAAAUCAUAUGGUAUUUGUCUUUCUCUGACUGACUUAUUUUGCUUAGCAUUAUACUCUGUCUCUAUUCGUGUCAUUGCAGAUGUCAAGAUUUCAUUCUUUCUUAUGGCUGAGUAAUAUUUCACUGUGUGUGUGUGUGUGUGUGUGUGUGUGUGUGUGUGUGUGUAUCUAUCUUCCUUCUCCAUUCAUCAGUUGGUGGACACUUGGGCUGCUUCCAUAUCUUGGCUAUUAUAAAUAAUGCUGCUAUAAAAAUAGGGAUGCAUGUAUCCUUUUGAAUUAGUGUUCUUACAUUCUUCGGGUAAAUACCCAGUAGUGCAGUAAGGUGAUUGUUGGAUCAUAAGCUACUUCUAUUUUUAACUUUUUGGGGAGCCUCCAUACUGUUUUUCAGAGUGGCUGCACCAGUUUGCAUUCCCACCAACAGCACAUGAGUGUUCCUUUUUCUCCACACUCUUGCCAACACCUGUUGGUUCUUGUGUUGUUGAUUUCAGCCAUUCUGACAGGUAUGAGCUGAUAUCCCAUUGUAGUUUUGAUUUGCAUUUCCCUAGUGAUAAGUGAUGAUGAACCUCUUUUCAUAUGUCUGUUGACCAUCUGGAUAUCUUCUUUGGAGAAAUGUCAGUUCAUGUCUUCUGCCCAUUUUUUAAUUGGAUGGUUUGUUUUUGGGGUGUUGAGUUUUAUAAAUUCUUUAUAUAUUUUGUAUGGAUACGUUUUUAAAAAACAGCCUUAUUGAUAUAUAAUUCACAUGCUAUAAAAUUCAGUCAUUUAAUCUGUACAAUUAAUUGGCUUUUAGUAUCUUCACAGAAUCAUGCAUCUAGCACCCAAAUCAAUUUAGAACAUUUUUAUUGCCAUGAAAAGAAACGCCACACCAUUUAGCUAUUGUCUUUGAAUUUCCCAUUUCUUCCCCCCCACCCAAGACCUAGGCAACUAGUAACAACUUUGUGUCUCUACAGAUUUACCUCUUCUAGACUUUUCAUAUCAAUGGAAUCCUACAAUAUGUGGUCCUUUGUGCCUGGCUUCUUUGACUUUGUAUAAUGUUUUCAAAGUUAUUCUAUUUGUAGCAUAUAUUAGUACUUCAUCAGUACUUCAUUUCUUUUCAUGGCCAAAUAACAUUCCAUUGUAUGGCUAUACCCGUUAUUGUUUAUCCGUUCAUCAGUUGAUGGACAUUUGAGUCGCUUUGAAGAGGCAAUAAUCCUUUAUUCUGUUAAGACUGAAAUAAAACAAACCAGCAGGUAGUCUACUCCAAUAUAUUAACAAUUUUAAAACAUUACCUUAUGGAUUUUUAUGGGACUGACUGGGCAAAAAUAUUCUGUAAAAAUAUUGACGAUCCAAAUAACUGUGAUUAAGAUUCAACCAAGGUUUGUGAGAAAUGGUGCAGUACUACAACUAUUGCCAGUCCCUAUUCAGAGUUACAUACAGCUCCCAAAUUGUUUGUGGAAGACUUCUCAACAAUGCUUAAAGAUAAGCUGUUGCCUGUAGAUUAUGUGAACAUAAAGACAUGAGUGUUCUAGAAGACAGAGUCAGUUACCCUAAUGACAAUGUAAAAGUUUUCACCAUGUAUGUCCAACGCUGGAAUCUUACAUCAUUUACAUUAUUAUAAAUGUAUUCUGUUGAGGCGAGAGAAUUCAGAGCCCCUGUCUAAAUGUCAUGUAUGUGCUUUUUUACAAACUGUCCCCAUUACUACUUCCUCCUUCACCUAGGACAAACUACAGGAAAGUGCUCUACAGAUGGUUCUAAGAAGUCUUCGAUGAAGCUAAAGAGAGCAGAUUUCUCUAGUGUGUCGCCACCAUCACCCUCUGGAGACUUGGGAAGCAGAAGGACAGCAGUGAGACAGAGUGAAGCUGACAUGCAUAGAGAAGCUGGGGUAAGAGACCGAUGGAAAGAGAUCUGAAAAUUUUUAUAUCUUUGUUUCUGGGAGUUUCUGAGACCCAGUAUCCUUUCUGCCCUUUCAGUAGUUGUGUGUUCAAGUUUUCCUUUCAUUACAAAGGAUAUCAGACCUUAAUAUUUUUCUAAUAAAUCUAUCUUUUUCAGACCA